rnacentral:rRNA from 1 species
AGAGUUUGAUCCUGGCUCAGAUUGAACGCUAGCGGGAUGCUUUACACAUGCAAGUCGAACGGCAGCACGAGAGAGCUUGCUCUCUUGGUGGCGAGUGGCGGACGGGUGAGUAAUAUAUCGGAACGUGCCCAGUAGCGGGGGAUAACUACUCGAAAGAGUGGCUAAUACCGCAUACGCCCUACGGGGGAAAGGGGGGGAUUCUUCGGAACCUCUCACUAUUGGAGCGGCCGAUAUCGGAUUAGCUAGUUGGUGGGGUAAAGGCUCACCAAGGCAACGAUCCGUAGCUGGUUUGAGAGGACGACCAGCCACACUGGGACUGAGACACGGCCCAGACUCCUACGGGAGGCAGCAGUGGGGAAUUUUGGACAAUGGGGGAAACCCUGAUCCAGCCAUCCCGCGUGUAUGAUGAAGGCCUUCGGGUUGUAAAGUACUUUUGGCAGAGAAGAAAAGGUACCUCCUAAUACGAGGUACUGCUGACGGUAUCUGCAGAAUAAGCACCGGCUAACUACGUGCCAGCAGCCGCGGUAAUACGUAGGGUGCAAGCGUUAAUCGGAAUUACUGGGCGUAAAGCGUGUGUAGGCGGUUCGGAAAGAAAGAUGUGAAAUCCCAGGGCUCAACCUUGGAACUGCAUUUUUAACUGCCGAGCUAGAGUAUGUCAGAGGGGGGUAGAAUUCCACGUGUAGCAGUGAAAUGCGUAGAUAUGUGGAGGAAUACCGAUGGCGAAGGCAGCCCCCUGGGAUAAUACUGACGCUCAGACACGAAAGCGUGGGGAGCAAACAGGAUUAGAUACCCUGGUAGUCCACGCCCUAAACGAUGUCAACUAGCUGUUGGGGCCGUUAGGCCUUAGUAGCGCAGCUAACGCGUGAAGUUGACCGCCUGGGGAGUACGGUCGCAAGAUUAAAACUCAAAGGAAUUGACGGGGACCCGCACAAGCGGUGGAUGAUGUGGAUUAAUUCGAUGCAACGCGAAAAACCUUACCUACCCUUGACAUGUCUGGAAUCCCGAAGAGAUUUGGGAGUGCUCGCAAGAGAACCGGAACACAGGUGCUGCAUGGCUGUCGUCAGCUCGUGUCGUGAGAUGUUGGGUUAAGUCCCGCAACGAGCGCAACCCUUGUCAUUAGUUGCUACGCAAGAGCACUCUAAUGAGACUGCCGGUGACAAACCGGAGGAAGGUGGGGAUGACGUCAAGUCCUCAUGGCCCUUAUGGGUAGGGCUUCACACGUCAUACAAUGGUCGGGACAGAGGGUCGCCAACCCGCGAGGGGGAGCCAAUCUCAGAAACCCGAUCGUAGUCCGGAUCGCAGUCUGCAACUCGACUGCGUGAAGUCGGAAUCGCUAGUAAUCGCGGAUCAGAAUGUCGCGGUGAAUACGUUCCCGGGUCUUGUACACACCGCCCGUCACACCAUGGGAGUGGGUUUCACCAGAAGUAGGUAGCCUAACCGUAAGGAGGGCGCUUACCACGGUGGGAUUCAUGACUGGGGUGAAGUCGUAACAAGGUAGCC